rnacentral:rRNA from 1 species
UAUCUCUGUAGAGUCUGCAUAUCAAUAAGCGGAGGAAAAGAAACUAACUAGGAUUCCCUUAGUAACGGCGAGUGAAGCGGGAAGAGCUCAAAUUUGAAAUCUUCAAGGUUUUACCUUGACGAAUUGUAGUUUAAAGAAGUGUUUUCUGUUGGUGUUUUGGUAAAAGUUCUUUGGAAUAGGACAUCAUAGAGGGUGAGAAUCCCGUAUUUGACCAUUACUUUCCAACUUUGUGAUACACUUUCAAAGAGUCGGAUUGUUUGGGAAUGCAGUCCAAAAUGGGUGGUAAAUUUCAUCUAAAGCUAAAUACUGGCGAGAGACCGAUAGCGAACAAGUACCGUGAGGGAAAGAUGAAAAGAACUUUGAAAAGAGAGUUAAACAGUACGUGAAAUUGUCAAAAGGGAAGCGUUUGACACCAGUGUUGUUUUCUCGAAAAUCAAUUAAAAAAAGUUGGAUUUUGUAUUGUUAAGACCUUAUCAGCUUACUGUACUCUUUUCUUGUCUUUUUUAAUGCACUUUUCGUUUAACAAGUCAACAUCAAUUUCUUUUGUUGUAAAAGGGUCAUUGGAAGGUGGCUUUCUUUUCGGAGAAAGUGUUUAUAGCCUUUGGCCUCUGCAAUCGGAGAGAUUGAGGUCUGCAGCGUAGAUCCUUCGGGGUUAGAUACAUUUGUGCUAAGUUAUAGCCUUUCAUAGACAACUUGUUGACUAUGAUCAGUCAUGUAGCUUACUCGCUUAUGCUAUUUUACCUACGCUUAGGAUGUUGAAGAUGUAGCACAUCAU